AGAUGUGAAGGCGAUCUAGCUGUGUCUUCUGUCACCUCGGUGGAUGGCCAGAAUUGAUUUGGCUUAUCUGGCUGGCUAGGCAGGUGACCUCUUCCUCCCUCACUUCUCCAUGUGUGUCCCUUCCAAAGUUGCACGCACUGUCGAAGAGGAUUAUGGAUCAUUCUUUGGUCAAGAGUACAUGAAUAGCUGUGCUCCUCUGCUAGAAUCUCCAAAUAAGAUCUCAAGAAAUUUAUAAUCUAUUUGGGAAGAUAAAAGACAAAUAUGUACAAAAAUAAAAUUCAAGAAGCUGAGGCAAAAGGAUUUGAAAUU
rnacentral:snRNA from 1 species